GACGAACGCUGGCGGCGUGCCUAAUACAUGCAAGUCGAACGCAGUGGGGACGGGUGAGUAACACGUGGGUAACCUCCCAUCAGAGGGGAUAACACUUGGAAACAGGUGCUAAACCGCUCCUGAAGGAUGGACCCGCGGUGCAUUAGCGAGUGGGAGAGGUAACGGCUCACCAAGGCCACGAUGCAUAGCCGACCUGAAGGGGUGAUCAGGCACACUGGGACGGAGACACGGCCCAUACUCCUACGGAAGGCGGCAGUAGGGAAUCUUCGGCAAUGGACGAAAGUCUGACCGAGCAACGCCGCGUGGGUGAAGAAGGUUUUCGGAUCGUAAAACUCUGUUGUUAGAGAAGCGGUAUCUAACCAGAAAGCCACGGCUAACUACGUGCCAGCCGCCGCGGUAAUAC
rnacentral:rRNA from 1 species